UAUAAUUUGUAAACAAAUAUAGAACUGCUCCAAUUCUUGUUAGAAUAAGAACAACCAUGAAAUUAAACUUUAUUCUUAUUUUCGUGUUGUUAGCCGUAACCCUAACAAUGGCUUUCGAUCAAUCUCAACAGUCCCAAUUAAGAAACGAAGCUACAAGAAUUAAAAGAAGCACCCCAAGAUAUUGUUGGUCUUGCAACGAACGUUGUUCUGUUAUAAAAAAAGUUGCAAUUUGCGAUGAAGUCGUGGGGACAUGUAAAUGUGUAGAGAAGCCAUAAUUACCGAUGCGCCGUAAGCAAAAUAAGUUAAUUAACAAGUUUCUAAUUAUUGCUUAUGUAUUAAUAUUUAUGAUAAUUGUUAGCGCUUUAUAAUAAAUAUGAACAAACACUA